GUGGGGAAUCUUAGACAAUGGGCGCAAGCCUGAUCUAGCCAUGCCGCGUGAGCGAUGAAGGCCUUAGGGUUGUAAAGCUCUUUCGCUGGGGAAGAUAAUGACUGUACCCAGUAAAGAAGCCCCGGCUAACUCCGUGCCAGCAGCCGCGGUAAUACGGAGGGGGCUAGCGUUAUUCGGAAUUACUGGGCGUAAAGCGCACGUAGGCGGACCAGAAAGUUGGGGGUGAAAUCCCGGGGCUCAACCUCGGAACUGCCUUCAAAACUCCUGGUCUUGAGUUCGAGGGAGGUGAGUGGAAUUCCGAGUGUAGAGGUGAAAUUCGUAGAUAUUCGGAGGAACACCAGUGGCGAAGGCGGCUCACUGGCUCGAUACUGACGCUGAGGUGCGAAAGCGUGGGGAGCAAACAGGAUUAGAAACCCUUGUAGUCC
rnacentral:rRNA from 1 species